GGAGACGUGGCCGAGUGGCUGAAGGCAACGGUUUGCUAAAUCGUCGUACCUGGAAGGGGUACCGAGGGUUCGAAUCCCUCCGUCUCCG
rnacentral:tRNA from 1 species